rnacentral:rRNA from 1 species
AUACCGGGCCUUUUUGGGCUUGGUAAUUGGAAUGAGGGAGAGUUAAACGGACCAUCGAGUGUCCAUUGGAGGGCAAGUCUGGUGCCAGCAGCUGCGGUAAUACCAGCUCCAAUAGCGUAUAUUAAAGUUGUUGCAGUUAAAAAGCUCGUAGUUGGACUUGUGUGCGCUGUCCGCGGGUGGCCUGCGCCCAAAAGGGCGUUUCGGUUCGGCCCCGGUGGCGCCUUGAAAUCUGCAGCUGGGGGGACGUUGGCCUUAACUGGUCGGCGACCGCACGCCGGCUGCUCGGUUACUGUGAGAAAAUUAGAGUGUUCAAGGCAGGCAUUGGGUGCAAUUGAAUACAUUAGCAUGGAAUAAUAAAAUAUGGCUCCUGCCGUAUUUUGUUGGUUUUGACUGGUGGGAGUAAUGAUUGAUAGGGACGGUUGGGGGUGCUAGUAUUGAGCGGCCAGAGGUGAAAUUCAUGGAUUCGCUCAAGACUAACUUAUGCGAAAGCAUUCACCAAGGACAUCCUCUUUAAUCAAGAACGAAAGUUGGGGGAUCGAAGACGAUCAGAUACCGUCGUAGUCUCAACCAUAAACUAUGUCGACUUGGGAUCGGCGGUAGUUUUUUCAUUAAGACACUGUCGGGACCACGGGAGAAAUCAAAGUGUCUGGACUCUGGGGGAAGUAUGGUCGCAAGGCUGAAACUUGAAGGAAUUGACGGAAGGGCACCACCAGGAGUGGAGCCUGCGGCUUAAUUUGACCCAACACGGGGAAACUUACCAGGUCCAGAGAUGUAGAGGAUUGACAGAUUGAAGCUCUUUCUUGAUCACUUCGGUGGUGGUGCAUGGCCGUUCUUAGUUGGUGGAGUGAUUUGUCUGGUUAAUUCCGUUAACGAACGAGACCUCAGCCUGCUAGUGUAGUCGGCUGGAUUGCCUUUGGCGAUCCGUGAUUUCGACUUCUUAGAGGGACAAUCGACGCGCAGUCGAUGGAAGUUUGAGGCAAUAACAGGUCUGUGAUGCCCUUAGAUGUUCUGGGCCGCACGCGCGCUACACUGCUGGGCUCAGCGAGUUUUACUUGGCCGAGAGGCCCGGUUAAUCUUGUGAAAUCCCAGCGUGCUUGGGCUCGCCUCCUGCAACUGGAGGCGCCAACGAGGAAUUCUAGUAGACGCAGGUCAUCAACCUGCAUCGAUUACGUCCCUGCCCUUUGUACACACCGCCCGUCGUUCCAUAAGAGUGAGGCAUCCGGUGAAUUCUCGGGAGAGCCUGGGCGUGGCCAGCAAUGGUCUGCUCGGGUUUGAACUUGCAUAAACUUGGUGCCUAUGAUUAGGG